AGAGCCUGGCGAAGGGGAGCUGCCACGGAGACACCACCAGAGGGGGAAUGUGAAUCUUUUACCCAUCUAUUUAGGACUCCCGAAGACAGAGAUGAGCCUUCUGUUCCCAGUGAUCACCGGCCCCCAGAUGAAGCCAGCCUCAGGAUAAUAAACCAGCCUUGCACCAGGGUGGCGUGAUGACGGCCGAGGGCCACAUGGUGCCCCCAGAGUAAAGCAGCGUGCAGAUGAAAAUGGAGAGACACCUACCUCCCAGCCCGGCACCCCACCAAGUCUGUGUAGAUGGUCUGGAUCAGUAAUUAGAAACACGGUGCAAUAAAUAU